GUAUUAUUUUCCCUGCAGAAUGGAUCUUUGAAAAUUGCGUGAGGAUUGUAUCAUUCAAUAAUAGAAUGAGUAAAAAGUUCAAAGUGAGAGAAGUAUACCUUGAAUGAGUUGGAUGCCAUCGUAAAUUCCAAACCAUUCAUCACAAGGAUGUUUUCCAUAGCCAUGUACACAGAAGAUUAAUCAAGAUUGGCAAAUUUACACA
rnacentral:lncRNA from 1 species